AGCCAUUUAUCUAUUGAAUAUUUUCUCGCUCAAGAAACGUAUAAUCGAUAUAGGUAAUAUGAUUCCGUGUCAAUAAAAA